rnacentral:rRNA from 1 species
UGGGGAAUUUUGGACAAUGGGCGCAAGCCUGAUCCAGCCAUGCCGCGUGCGGGAAGAAGGCCUUCGGGUUGUAAACCGCUUUUGUCAGGGAAGAAAUCUUCUGAGUUAAUACCUCGGGAGGAUGACGGUACCCGAAGAAUAAGCACCGGCUAACUACGUGCCAGCAGCCGCGGUAAUACGUAGGGUGCAAGCGUUAAUCGGAAUUACUGGGCGUAAAGCGUGCGCAGGCGGUUUUGUAAGACAGAGGUGAAAUCCCCGGGCUCAACCUGGGAACUGCCUUUGUGACUGCAAGGCUUGAGUGCGGCAGAGGGGGAUGGAAUUCCGCGUGUAGCAGUGAAAUGCGUAGAUAUGCGGAGGAACACCGAUGGCGAAGGCAAUCCCCUGGGCCUGCACUGACGCUCAUGCACGAAAGCGUGGGGAGCAAACAGGAUUAGAUAGCCCUGGUAGUCCACGCCCUAAACGAUGUCAACUGGUUGUUGGGAAGGUUCCUUCUCAGUAACGUAGCUAACGCGUGAAGUUGACCGCCUGGGGAGUACGGCCGCAA